CGGUGUCAAGAUACGAAAUUCCAGAGACAAGAUAGAAGCUUUUAACAAUAUCCGAAUGCGAUUUUCCGAAGGCUAUCCCAGUGUCUUUUAUCCGUAUUUGCCAACCAAUACGACGCCGUGUGAUUUACGGAACUUCGUCGGGUUGCCGACCAAAAAUCAAUUCGUCACCCACUCGGCCGUCGAAGAUUUUUAUCGGAACAAGACCCAGUGCGUCAUCAACAAACGGGACGAUGGAACCAUAAUAAAGACAAUCGACUUCACCGCCCCCAUUAUCUUCGAGUUCACUUAGGCUGUGAUACACAAGACAAUGAAGACAAGAUUAAUUCCCUUUUAUUGGAAAUAACGAUGUUAGCAACAACAAUUCGGCGCUUAAUUUCAACUAACACUAGAAUAGUAAUCAAUUGUCAUGUACAAGAGAACACUAAUAAAAUAGACUUGCUUUAUCCGGU